CUGCGGAGGGAUCAUUACUGAGUUUACGCUCUAUAACCCUUUGUGAACAUACCUAUAACUGUUGCUUCGGCGGGUAGGGUCUCCGUGACCCUCCCGGCCUCCCGCCCCCGGGCGGGUCGGCGCCCGCCGGAGGAUAACCAAACUCUGAUUUAACGACGUUUCUUCUGAGUGGUACAAGCAAAUAAUCAAAACUUUUAACAACGGAUCUCUUGGUUCUGGCAUCGAUGAAGAACGCAGCGAAAUGCGAUAAGUAAUGUGAAUUGCAGAAUUCAGUGAAUCAUCGAAUCUUUGAACGCACAUUGCGCCCGCCAGCAUUCUGGCGGGCAUGCCUGUUCGAGCGUCAUUUCAACCCUCAAGCUCUGCUUGGUGUUGGGGCCCUACAGCUGAUGUAGGCCCUCAAAGGUAGUGGCGGACCCUCCCGGAGCCUCCUUUGCGUAGUAACUUUACGUCUCGCACUGGGAUCCGGAGGGACUCUUGCCGUAAAACCCCCCAAUUUUCCAAAGGUUGACCUCGGAUCAGGUAGGAAUACCCGCUGAACUUAAGCAUAUCAAAAG
rnacentral:rRNA from 1 species